AUCACUGUUCCUGUGCUCACAGUCAUCAAUUAUAGACCCCACAACAUGCGCCCUGAAGACAGAAUGUUCCAUAUCAGAGCUGUGAUCUUGAGAGCCCUCUCCUUGGCUUUCCUGCUGAGUCUCCGAGGAGCUGGGGCCAUCAAGGCGGACCAUGUGUCAACUUAUGCCGCGUUUGUACAGACGCAUAGACCAACAGGGGAGUUUAUGUUUGAAUUUGAUGAAGAUGAGAUGUUCUAUGUGGAUCUGGACAAGAAGGAGACCGUCUGGCAUCUGGAGGAGUUUGGCCAAGCCUUUUCCUUUGAGGCUCAGGGCGGGCUGGCUAACAUUGCUAUAUUGAACAACAACUUGAAUACCUUGAUCCAGCGUUCCAACCACACUCAGGCCACCAACGGUACGCCCUAUCUUUGCCUCUUCCUCUGUAGCCCAACUGGAAGGGAUGAGAGGGCCUCUCUGCCACCCUCAGACUAGGAAGCCUAAGUGCCCCCUGCUGUGUGAUCCUCUUCCCCUAGUGGCCAUGGGCUGAUCCCACUACAGCAAGGGCUUGCAUCCUCUCUUCUCAGGAGAGAGAAAGGUGAGCAGAGUGAGGCUGGUCAGUGGUGUGAUACCCCUCUCUGUGAUUCAGAGCUGCCAUAAAAUCUAAGGCUGAGGUAGAGGACCACCCUCCCCUAAGAGGUGGAGCCUUUGUGAUUCAUCCCAGAAGAGGGGCCUAACCUGGUGCUGUCUCCUUCCAGAUCCCCCUGAGGUGACCGUGUUUCCCAAGGAGCCUGUGGAGCUGGGCCAGCCCAACACCCUCAUCUGCCACAUUGACAAGUUCUUCCCACCAGUGCUCAACGUCACGUGGCUGUGCAACGGGGAGCUGGUCACUGAGGGUGUCGCUGAGAGCCUCUUCCUGCCCAGAACAGAUUACAGCUUCCACAAGUUCCAUUACCUGACCUUUGUGCCCUCAGCAGAGGACUUCUAUGACUGCAGGGUGGAGCACUGGGGCUUGGACCAGCCGCUCCUCAAGCACUGGGGUAUGCAACUGCUUUUCUCUCCAUAAUCUCCUGGCAUCCUCUAUUCCAAAGACCUGGUGUCCUCUGCACCAGCUUUCCGCACUGGCUGGGUCUCAGUCCUCUCCUCGUCCUAACAUCCAAUUAACUGGUCCAUAACCUUCAAUUCCCACAACCAUCCCAGGCCAUCACCACCCUCACUGCACCUCCUGACCCUAUCUCUUCAUUCUUCCCCCAGAGGCCCAAGAGCCAAUCCAGAUGCCUGAGACAACGGAGACUGUGCUCUGUGCCCUGGGCCUGGUGCUGGGCCUAGUCGGCAUCAUCGUGGGCACCGUCCUCAUCAUAAAGUCUCUGCGUUCUGGCCAUGACCCCCGGGCCCAGGGGACCCUGUGAAAUACUGUAAAGGUGGGAAUGUAAAGAGGAGGCCCUAGGAUUUGUAGAAUGUAAGGAAGGGAGGAAAAAUUCAAUCUGAUAAGUGUUCAUUGAUCUUCUAAUGGGUUAAAAGCAUUCAGCCACAUAACAACAACAACACCGAUAACUAACUGAGUAGUUAAUAUGGUCAGGCGCUAUUCUGAGGAUUUACAUUUAUUAACUCACUUUAUUCUCACACAUAGUCUUUGAGGUAGGUACUAUUAUUUUCACUAUUUCACAUGAGAGAUACUUACAUCUUUUUACAUACACAGAGACUUUAAGCACUUUGAUCAAGUUCCCACAGCUAUGAAGUAGUAGGGCUAGCUUCCAAUCCAGAAAGUCUGGAUCCAAGACUGUUUAUCCACUGUCCUAUUCACCCUAUUUUGUGAAGGAAAAGACCAAGUUCAAAUUCUCCAGAGUCCAUUGCCAAAUAAUGGAGUCAGAUCUAUAUUUCUAUACAUAAUUACAACACAGUGUGGUGGGUGCCUGUAACUACUUACUGUCUCUACUUGGACUCAUUCCAUGGCAAUGUUCACACAAAAAAUGCCCCUCCAGAGAUCUUACAGGUUUCUAUUUAUCAUAACACUCACCAUGCUUUAUAUUUUUAUAUGUUUUGGGAAUUCUCUUAGCAUUAGACAGUGAACUUCCAUGCAGAUGACCACAUCUAAUUCAUUAUUAUUAUUGUUAUUCAUGCUGGACCUCAGGUACAAAAGGUUAAGAACUUCUCAGUUCAUUAUAUGAUCAUCAUUGGUGCCUCCGAGCUCUCUCUCUCUCCCUUGAUUUAUUUGGUCCCUUUUAUCUCCAGUCCUUACUCCCAUAUCUAACCUCUUACCCCUACCUCAUAGGUAAACAUUUUAAUGAAUUUGAUGUUUCCUUUUAUUUGCAUAGAUCCUCUGUAAUAUGUAGUAGUGUCCAGUGUACAUGUAUUUUUAAUUAACCAAAAUGGCAUUAAAUUAUAGAUCUAAUUUUGUACAUCCAGUUUGUUUCUUCCAAAUCUUCCAUAGUAUUUUACUUUAUAUGUCCAUGCAUUAGUCCAUUUUGCAUUGCUAUAAAGGAAUAUCUGAAGUUACCUAAUUUACGAAGAAAAGAGCUUUAAAUGGCUCACAGAUCUGCAGGCUGUACGCGAAACAUGGCACUAGCAUCUGCUUCUGUUGGGGGAUUCUGGAAGCUUUUACUCAUGGUGGAAGGCAAGUGGAGCCAGUGCAUCACAUGGUCAUAGAGGGAGAAAGAGACAUAGAAAGAGGUGCCAGCCUCUUUUUAACAACCAGGUUUCAUGUGCACUAAUAGAGUGAGAACUCACUCAUUACCCGGAGAGGGGACAAAGCCAUUCAUGAGGGUCUCCUCCAUGAUUCAAAUACCUCCCACCAGGCCCCACCUGCAACACUGGGGAUCAAUUUUCAACAUGAGACUUGGAAGUGACAAAUAUCCAAAUCAUAUUAAUCCACAUAUCUACAUUGCUCCUGGGAUACCUGGAUCAUUCCUGGUUCUCUACUAUUGCAAGCAAUGCUUGUAUCUCACAUGGAACUGCAUAUACAUGUGGGCCUGACCUGCAUCCCUGGAAUGUAUGUAUCCUAGAAAGGGGUUGCAGGGUUGCUGGAGAUGCAGCUCCUUAAUUUGACUAAACACUGCUCAUCUUCUCAUCAGAAUGGCUGUACUCAUCUGAACUUCCUUUGUCAGUACUCUAAUUGUCCUGCAACUCCUAAAUGGACUUCAACACUGGACAUUAUCCAGUUUUCUAACUUUUGCCAAUUUCAUGUGCAUAAAGAAAUAUGCUGUUUUAUUUUGCAUUUCUUUAAUUACUAAUAAUUGGGGCUAUAAUUAGGACUGAUUAGCCACUUGGGGGUUCCUUUUCUAUAAAUUGCCUGUUCACAUUCAUUGUCCAUUUUUGUACUAUGUGCUUCCAUCAUUUUCUUAUUGAUUUGCAGGUGAUCCUUAUAUAGUCCUGCUAGUAGUCCCUUGUCAGUUUUAGGCAUUGCAAAUGUUUUCCUCUAAUCUGACUUCUGGCAACUGUCUCCUUGGUUUCCUUUAUUGAAGAGAAAUCCUUAAUAUUUUGUAAUGAAGUCCAUCAACUGUAUUUUUGUUUGUGUGUCUUUUUUAAAAGAAGUCUUCCCUAUACUGAGAUAUCAAAGAUACUCUUAAAACAUCUCCUACAGUUUUAAAUUUCACAUUUACUACUUUAAUUCAUCUGGGAUUCAUCUUUGUGUUUGAUGGGGAUCAUGUUUUAUUUUUCUUUAUAUAAUGGGCCAGUGUGUUCCCACAACUACUAAAUAGUUCACCUUUUCCCCAUAGGUUAGUAGUGUCUCCUUUGCUAUACUGAAAGCUCCCAUUAUAGGUGGGCCUGUGUCUGAGUUCCAUCUUGUUCCACUGUUCUGUUUGUCUCUUCUUGUGCCAGUGUCCUAGUAUUUUGAUUACUAUGACAUUGUAGUGUGUGUUAGUAUCCAGUAGGACAAAUUCUUGUUUAUUUUUCUUAGUUCACACACAUUUAUAAUUAUAUCUAUAAUGAUUUGUAACAGAGUGAAGUGAAUGUAGAAUGUCAGAUGUUAAGAGGAAGAAUGGAAAAGAGGGCUGGGACUAGGGUGAUGUAGGGGAUGCACCUGGCUUAGGUGCAAAAUUUGGGGGAUACCAAAAGAACUCAGUAAUAAAUCAUAUUUUAAUGAAAUAUCUUGAAAAGGCAAAAUUAAUGCAAAGAUACAUGAUUAACAAAACAUCCAAAGAGGAGUAUUUAACAAAAAUGGAGAAGCAGAGAAGCAGAAGAAUUAGGAGAAUAUGCUGUCACAUGAGCCAAGGAAUUAAAGAAUUCAGGAAGGAGGAAGUACUGCUGUCAGAUGUUCAACAGAGGUCAUUUUAGAAAAUUUACCUUGGUUUUUGAAAUCCUUUCAAAGAGCAGUAUACACAAUGUGAGCAAGUAUCCUUCGUUCAUUGCCGUCAUUGAUAUGGUUUGGAUAUUUGUCCCUUCCAAUUCUCAUUCCAGGGUUAAGCUUCUUCUCUGCCCUCAGUAAUGUGGCCCUUCCCCUUGUCUGUAUAUUUUGGAGACAUGAAGCAUGUGGGAUGGCCUCACAGUCAGCUGGGGUUUGAGGGUGAAAUUCAAUGACUUUCGUGAACUCCUUGGCUCCUAUGUGCUCUUCACCUGGAGGACCAGGGCAUGUGCAGGGAUGACCACCUUCUCCCUGGGACCUGAACAGGGCAGAGAAAUGGGAAGCUCGGGUGCAAAGGGAGUGGGGAAGAUGGGUCCGGGCUUACAGUACUGAACCCAGGAAUGACAAUAACUGUGUGUGUUGCUGCAGGUGACAAAAUAUCUGAACAGAAGAGGACUUAGGAGAGAUCUGAACUCCAGCUGCCCUACAAACUCCAUCUCAGCUUUUCUUCUCACUUCAUGUGAAAACUACUCCAGUGGCUGACUGAAUUGCUGACCCUUCAAGCUCUGUCCUUAUCCAUUACCUCAAAGCAGUCAUUCCUUAGUAAAGUUUCCAACAAAUAGAAAUUAAUGACACUUUGGUAGCACUAAUAUGGAGAUUAUCCUUUCAUUGAGCCUUUUAUCCUCUGUUCUCCUUUGAAGAACCCCUCACUGUCACCUUCCCGAGAAUACCCUAAGACCAAUAAAUACUUCAGUAUUUCAGAGCGGGGA
rnacentral:lncRNA from 1 species